rnacentral:rRNA from 1 species
UACGUAGGGGGCAAGCAUUAUCCGGAUUUACUGGGUGUAAAGGGAGCGUAGACGGCUUUGCAAGCCAGAUGUGAAAGCCCGGGGCUCAACCUCGGGACUGCAUUUGGAACUGUAUGGCUGGAGUGUCGGAGAGGCAGGCGGAAUUCCUAGUGUAGCGGUGAAAUGCGUAGAUAUUAGGAGGAACACCAGUGGCGAAGGCGGCCUGCUGGACGAUGACUGACGUUGAGGCUCGAAAGCGUGGGGAGCAAACAGG